UUCUGUCAUUUGAGGCCUGUGGAUUCCUGCUAGCAACAAGACUUUUGAAGGCAACUAUGUCUAGAAAGCUGUGGUAUAAAGCCAGUUUUGCUUGAAUAAGGGGUCUCUGAAGCUCAGUGGUGCACACAACUUUUCCCAACUAAACAGGAGUAAUCCUGGAACCUGUAGUCUGGGCUCAUGGAAGUAGUGGCAUAAAUGAUGCCCAGUUCCCAAGCAUCCUCUCUACUGCCAUGGGACACAAUCCAUGUGAUGCUGAGCCCUGCAAGGAUUUAAAUUAAUAGAGAGUAAACCAAUUAAAGUAGAUUUGUGCUGUUUUGAAAAUCAAAUUUAGAUAAUUUUCAUGAAUUUGUCUUCCUUCAAUAAUGUGACUGUUAUGCUUUGAAUGUAAAAUGUCUUCCACAGACUGAACACUGGUCCCAAGCUAGUGGUGGUCUUUGAAGAGAUUGUGGAAUUUCAGGAAGUGGAGCCAGUCUGGUGGGGGUGGGUCACUGUAGGGUUGAGGAUUGAGGGUUAUCAACCGAGGUUUGUCACCCAAGUCCUGCCUACCUUGAGCACCAAUGCCAGACAAGCCACUGCUGCCACCAUGCACUUCCUGCCAUUGAGGGUUUCACCAUUUAAAAUAGUGACAAUAAAAAGUUUCUGCCUUUAGUUGUUUCUGUCAGAUAUUUGUGAUGAUGAGGAGUCAGUGAGUUCUCACUUAGUUCUUGGGGUUUGCCUACUCAAGUAAAGAGCACUGACAAGAAAAAUAACAGAUGCAAGAAUAACUGUACAGCCAGGUAAGACUGCUUGGGAAUUGCAGAGAUUUCAGUUCUCUGGUGGUUGGAGUCCAAGAGCAAGGCCUACUGAAAAUGGGAGCUGCUUUAAGUUGAACUUUAAGGGCAAAAAUGUUUUAGAAGGAAGGUGCUGCUUUCCAUGAGGAGGAGACGAAUGUGCAGACUUGAAGAAGCGUGGCUGUUAGAGAGGGUCAUAUCAGCCUUUAGAAUGAGGUGUUCUAGAACCAGAGGUUCUUAACCUUCCUAGUUCUGCAACCCCUUAAUACAGUUCCUCAUGUUGUAGUAUUCCCCCACCAUAACAUUGUUUUUGUUGCUAUUUCAUAACUGUAAUCUUGCUACCCUAAUGCAUUGAAAUGUAAAUAUUGGUGUUUUCUGAUGGACUUAGGCAACCUCUGUGGAAGGGUGAUAUGAUUCCCAAAGGGGUUGUGACCUACAUUUUGAGAACCACUGUUCUAGACUAUAAACACUAGUGUAUAUUAUAGUCACUUGAUCUUGAAAAGUGCAAAUUCUUAGAAACAACUCAUACAAUUUAAGAAUUGGCAUUUUCUGCAGAUUUAGAUGUAUUCAGUCCCUGGAUUACUUGUUUAAUUAACAAACACCAACCAGCAUAUGAAACACAGAAUUUACUGAGCUCCUCCAUCAGUAACCACUCCAUGAUCCUGUCACUGCAGUCAAACUAAUGGACUGAUCUCUUACCCGUUAAAAAUUGAUCCUGUCUCUUCAAAGUCAACCUGCCCUGUCAAAGCUCCAAACAACCACUUUUGUUGCUGUGAUAAAAUAAUACAAUGAAAACCAACUUGUACUAGAAAGUUUUCUUCAGUUUUCUGCUUAAAGGGAUAGAGUCCAUAAUAGUCACAGCAGAUGACUGGAGCUGGAAGCUAGUGAUCACAUACUGUUGGAAUACCAGGAAAACAGGGAGUGUAACUACAAGUGGGCUGAGGCUAUAAACACUGGAAGCCUGAGUAUAUAGCGGAGCAUAAAAUUGUUAAAAGAUACACAGUGUUUUUUAGUUAAUACAGUGAUAUGAUUUGUGUGGUGACAGUUUAUAAUCCCAAUGGAUGCUAUUUGAUAUUGUCAGAUUUUGUAGUUAUUCAUGUGUGUGUCUGUAUUAUGCCACAUGAGUACAGGUGCCUACAGAGGACAGGAGGGGAUUGAGUUCCCUGGAAUUGCUCUUAUAGGCAGCCUGAUGUGGGUGCUUGGAACUAAACUCCCAUCCUAUGGAAGAGCUAUUAAAUGCUCUUAACAACGGAACUGUCUAAUAGUGCCAGAUAUCUUAAUGUUUUAUUCAGUCUAAACCAGUAAAAUGUCAAAACCAAAGAUAUUGUUUUUACUUGUUUUUUUUUUUUUUGAGUAUGCAUGUUUAAACUUUUUUUUAAACGUGGUUCAUUUUGAAAAUCAAUUUUAUUUAUUAUUCUAUUCUACC
rnacentral:lncRNA from 1 species